GUUCUAUUCUUGCUUUGUACUGCAGUUUUCCUCUUUUUCAUAAGUUUUGAGUAUUCUAUCUUUGCUGUAGAGAGUACUCUUGGUUUGUGUUUUACACUUACUAAGAUAGAGGUGUAGAACUGUCAGUGAUUGACGCAUAAAACGACAGAGCGCUUGCAGAUAUUGUUGCUGAAGUUGUGAUAUCUGGGAGGUAGAACCAUUAUGCUGCAGGGGCAGAUUACUUGUGUCUUAGCAGUCGUGUUGUUUGAAAUAAUGUUCCUAUGGUGUCAAGUUUAUCUUGUUGUGUGGAUACAGUUGUGUUGGGGGGUGUAUAAGAUGCUUUCAUGCAACUGUAGCAGCUGUUGAUGCUGAUUUAAAUAGUGAAUCACCAGUCCUUUCUAAGGCUGAACUAGUUGUAGGCUGUAUGCGGGGUUCCAUAUCUUUAUUUCAUCUUUUUAUUCUCUUACAGAGUUUUUGUUGUUCAAAGUUUUAUUAUGGUUUUGUGCAGGGGUGAAAAUUCUUUUGCCUGGACUAUUGAUAUAAAAAGCAGUGUUCUACGUGUGAACAAAUGGGCUUGGUAGGCUGAUCUGACGGUGAAAAAGUUGGUAUGUGUGUGCUGCCAAGAGAUAGAAUCUGGGAUUGAAGUGAAUGGUGGUGGGUUUGGCGGGAAGGAUGCAGGAAUUAUGAUUUUGAAAAUUCCCAAUGUUAUCAAAUGUCGCUUGCUUGAUCUUUGGUCUGAACAACAACUCUGCUGGCAUUAUGUGUUUUUGGAAAAGCUGCGGUCGAUGUAUCUGAUUGUGACAAGUAUUUAUCUGAUUUCUUAUCAACAAGUGACAAACCCAUUCUGAAUGCAGGUUCUUUAUGGACUUGAACAAGCUCACGCAUUAGAUUCAUUUACAGCAGAAUCAUCAUUACUUUGUGGAACUGAAUCCAGUUUAUGGCUCCAUUGUGCGGAUGGUACUAGUUCGGUAGUUAAUCCAUCAGAAAACAGAUCCUAGAAGAGAUGGUUCCAAAUACUUCAUUGGAGGCUUGACAUGGAAUUUUCCCCGGCCACAAGACAGAGGACCAAAUGGUCUUCUGGAUGGGUUCAGAGAACCCCUGCCUUUUCAGAUUUUGUGCCCACCUACAAAAGCAGUGAUAUAGAUAUAUUAUAUCGUCGAGAAAGCAAAGGAUGCUAACAUAAUCGGGAUCUUGGUCGGUACCUUGGUGUAGAUGGUUAUCUUCCGAAUAUGAUUAAUCAAAUGAAAGUAGUCACUGAUGGAGCAGGGAAGAAGACGUAUACUUCUUUUGGGAAAGCCAAACCCUGCAAAACUAGCCCCAAGGUAAAUAUUUUUGUCCAGACAUCCAAAACUGUUGCGGUGCUCAACUGCUUGAGAUGAUUACGGACAGGUUAUCUGACAAGAUUGCCUCAUUGUGGGCAGUUUGUUGUUUCUGUUUAUGUCUCUAUUUCCCAAACUGCAAUUUUGGAUAGCAAAGAUAUCUUUUCCCCAGUGGUUAAACCUUAUGAAGCCGUU